rnacentral:rRNA from 1 species
UAGGGAAUAUUAGAAAUGGACGAAAGUCUGAUCUAGCAACACCGCGUGUGCGAAGAAGGCCUUCGGGUUGUAAAGCACUUUUUGGAAGGAUUAGGAAGGAAUGUACUUCCAGAAUAAGUCUCGGCUAACUACGUGCCAGCAGCCGCGGUAACACGUAGGAGGCAAACGUUAUCCGGAUUUACUGGGCGUAAAGCGCGUGUAGGUGGUUCUGUAAGUAGGGCGUGAAAGCUCCUGGCUAAACGGGGAGAGGCCGUUCUAAACUGCAGAGCGAGAGUAUGGUAGAGGGAGGUGGAAUGCCGGGUGUAGCGGUGGAAUGCGCAGAUAUCCGGAGGAACACCAGUGGCGAAAGCGGCCUCCUGGACCAUUCCUGACACUCAGACGCGAAAGCUAGGGUAGCAAACG